UGCAGUCGACGGCAGCGCGAGAGAGCUUGCUCUCUUGGCGGCGAGUGGCGGMCSGGUGAGUAAUAUAUCGGAACGUGCCCAGUAGCGGGGGAUAACUACUCGAAAGAGUGGCUAAUACCGCAUACGCCCUACGGGGGAAAGGGGGGGAUCGCAAGACCUCUCACUAUUGGAGCGGCCGAUAUCGGAUUAGCUAGUUGGUGGGGUAAAGGCUCACCAAGGCAACGAUCCGUAGCUGGUUUGAGAGGACGACCAGCCACACUGGGACUGAGACACGGCCCAGACUCCUACGGGAGGCAGCAGUGGGGAAUUUUGGACAAUGGGGGAAACCCUGAUCCAGCCAUCCCGCGUGUAUGAUGAAGGCCUUCGGGUUGUAAAGUACUUUUGGCAGAGAAGAAAAGGUAUCCCCUAAUACGGGAURCUGCUGACGGUAUCUGCA
rnacentral:rRNA from 1 species